GUCGAGCGAACCUUCGGGUUAGCGGCGGACGGGUGAGUAACGCGUGGGAACGUGCCCUCUUCUGCGGGAUAGCCACUGGAAACGGUGAGUAAUACCGCAUACGCCCUUCGGGGGAAAGAUUUAUCGGAGGAGGAUCGGCCCGCGUUGGAUUAGGUAGUUGGUGGGGUAAUGGCCUACCAAGCCUACGAUCCAUAGCUGGUUUUAGAGGAUGAUCAGCCACACUGGGACUGAGACACGGCCCAGACUCCUACGGGAGGCAGCAGUGGGGAAUCUUAGACAAUGGGCGCAAGCCUGAUCUAGCCAUGCCGCGUGAGUGACGAAGGCCUUAGGGUCGUAAAGCUCUUUCGCCAGAGAUGAUAAUGACAGUAUCUGGUAAAGAAACCCCGGCUAACUCCGUGCCAGCAGCCGCGGUAAUACGGAGGGGGUUAGCGUUGUUCGGAAUUACUGGGCGUAAAGCGCACGUAGGCGGAUUGGAAAGUUGGGGGUGAAAUCCCAGGGCUCAACCCUGGAACUGCCUCCAAAACUCCCAGUCUGGAGUUCGAGAGAGGUGAGUGGAAUUCCGAGUGUAGAGGUGAAAUUCGUAGAUAUUCGGAGGAACACCAGUGGCGAAGGCGGCUCACUGGCUCGAUACUGACGCUGAGGUGCGAAAGUGUGGGGAGCAAACAGGAUUAGAUACCCUGGUAGUCCACACCGUAAACGAUGAAUGCCAGUCGUCGGCAAGCAUGCUUGUCGGUGACACACCUAACGGAUUAAGCAUUCCGCCUGGGGAGUACGGUCGCAAGAUUAAAACUCAAAGGAAU
rnacentral:rRNA from 1 species